rnacentral:rRNA from 1 species
GUCUAUGGCCAUGCCACCUUGAACAAGCCUGAUGUCUGAUCUGGGAAGCUAAGCUGGGUCGGGCCUGGUUAGUACUUGGAUGGGAGACCACCUAGGAAGACCAGGUGCUACAGGCG